rnacentral:rRNA from 1 species
AGCGAGCGCUGGCGGCAGGCCUAACACAUGCAAGGCGAACGAAGCCUUCGGGCUUAGUGGCGGACGGGUGAGUAACACGUGGGAACGUACCUUUUGGUUCGGAACAACUCAGGGAAACUUGAGCUAAUACCGGAUGAGCCCUUAGGGGGAAAGAUUUAUCGCCGAAAGAGCGGCCCGCGUUAGAUUAGCUAGUUGGUGCGGUAAAGGCUCCCCAAGGCUACGAUCUAUAGCUGGUCUGAGAGGAUGAUCAGCCACACUGGGGCUGAGACACGGGCCAGACUACUACGGGAGGCAGCAGUGGGGGAUCUUGCGCAAUGGGCGAAAGCCUGACGCAGCCAUGCCGCGUGAAUGAUGAAGGUCUUAGGAUUGUAAAAUUAUUUUGCCAGUGACGAUAAUGACGGUACGUGGAGAAAAAGCCCCGGCUAACUUCGUGCCAGCCGCCGCGGUCAAAC